CGAAUACAGCCAUAUGUUUCCUAUAAAUGCCAAUAUGGCUCCUACAGACUGCUGUAGUACAUACACUUCAUAUAACCCCAACUCCCAGAACUUUAAAACUCAAUCAUAAUUUUUAUAGGUUCCUCAACAGAUUCCCUCCAACUACACGCUGUACCGAGAGACUCCUGUCCGCCUGACAAUCUCCAGACAAACUAAAUACCC